UACGUAGGUGGCGAGCGUUGUCCGGAUUUACUGGGCGUAAAGAGCGCGCAGGCGGCUGGUCAAGUCCGAUGUGAAAGCCCCCGGCUCAACUGGGGAGGGUCACGCGAUACUGACCGACUCGAAGGCAGGAGAGGGUAGUGGAAUUCCCGGUGUAGUGGUGAAAUGCGUAGAUAUCGGGAGGAACACCAGUGGCGAAGGCGACUACCUGGCCUGUUCUUGACGCUGAGGCGCGAAAGCUAGGGGAGCAAACGGG
rnacentral:rRNA from 1 species